UACGUAGGCAGCAAGCGUUGUUCGGAGUUACUGGGCGUAAAGGGUGUGUAGGCGGUUCUUUAAGUUUGCUGUGAAAUCUCCCGGCUUAACCGGGAGGGUGCGGUGAAUACUGAGGGACUAGAGUACGGGAGAGGAAAGUGGAAUUCCUGGUGUAGCGGUGAAAUGCGUAGAUAUCAGGAGGAACACCGGUGGUGUAGACGGCUUUCUGGACCGUAACUGACGCUGAGACACGAAAGCGUGGGUAGCAAACAGG
rnacentral:rRNA from 1 species